rnacentral:rRNA from 1 species
UAACGGUCCUAAGGUAGCGAAAUUCCUUGUCGGGUAAGUUCCGACCCGCACGAAAGGCGUAACGAUUUGGGCACUGUCUCAACGAGAGACUCGGUGAAAUCAUAGUACCGGUGAAGAUGCCGGUUACCCGCGACAGGACGGAAAGACCCCGUGGAGCUUUACUGUAGCCUGAUAUUGAAAUUCGGUACAGUUUGUACAGGAUAGGUAGGAGCCUUAGAAGCGUGAGCGCUAGCUUACGUGGAGGCAUUGGUGGGAUACUACCCUAAUUGUAUUGGAUUUCUAACCCGCAGCACUUAUCGUGCUGGGAGACAGUGUCAGGCGGGCAGUUUGACUGGGGCGGUCGCCUCCUAAAGAGUAACGGAGGCGCUCAAAGGUUCCCUCAGAAUGGUUGGAAAUCAUUCAUAGAGUGUAAAGGCAUAAGGGAGCUUGACUGCGAGACCUACAAGUCGAGCAGGGUCGAAAGACGGACUUAGUGAUCCGGUGGUUCCGCAUGGAAGGGCCAUCGCUCAACGGAUAAAAGCUACCCCGGGGAUAACAGGCUUAUCUCCCCCAAGAGUUCACAUCGACGGGGAGGUUUGGCACCUCGAUGUCGGCUCAUCGCAUCCUGGGGCUGUAGUCGGUCCCAAGGGUUGGGCUGUUCGCCCAUUAAAGCGGUACGCGAGCUGGGUUCAGAACGUCGUGAGACAGUUCGGUCCCUAUCCGUCGUGGGCGUAGGAAAUUUGAGAGGAGCUGUCCUUAGUACGAGAGGACCGGGAUGGACAUACCUCUGGUGUACCAGUUGUCGUGCCAACGGCAUAGCUGGGUAGCUAUGUAUGGACGGGAUAAGUGCUGAAAGCAUCUAAGCAUGAAGCCCCCCUCGAGAUGAGAUUUCCCAACUUC